CCUUUGGCCAUUUUCAAUAAAGAAAUAGAAGUUCAUAAUUUUGCAAUGUUUUUAUCACUUGGUUCAGUAUUGUCAGUGCAAAGAAACCUUUUCCUAUAUAGCUAUAGAAGUUGUGCAGUAUCUUUAAUAAACCUGUUCAAACCAAGUAUAAUAUUUUUCUUUGUUAGUAAAAUAGAAUACAAGAACAAAGACACUGGUAGCCAUGGACACAAAACAGGAAAGGAUAGCAGGGAUUCAGAAAGAGUGUUUUAAGUGCGGAGGAAGAGAGGGGGCUGUGGUAGCCGUGGUGGAUGUGGCCACCACAGUGGACAGGAUUGCCAUGCCUACCACAUCACCCUAAAUUUAAAUUAAAUUUAUUAAAAUGAAAUCAACUAUCUCU